AAAGAUUUAGUCCUAACCUUACCAUUAGUUCUCACCAGGUGUAUACAUGCAAGUAUCCGCACCCCAGUGUGAAUGCCCACGGCCUCUUAUCAAGAACACAAGGAGCGGGCAUCAGGCGCACACCCUUAUCGUAGCCUAAGACGCCUUGCCUAGCCACACCCCCACGGGUAUUCAGCAGUAACUAGCAUUGGGCUAUGAGCGAAAGCUUGACUCAGCCAUGGUGAUCCCAGGGUUGGUAAAUCUUGUGCCAGCCACCGCGGUCACACAAGAGACCCAAACUAAUUGUACACGGCGUAAAGAGUGGAACCACGCUAUCACACUAGCUAGGGCUAAAAUGCCACUGAGCUGUCACAAGCCCAAGUCGCGCAUAAGACCUACGACUAAAGUGACCCUAGUGCUCGUGACUAACUAACCCCCACGAAAGCCAGGGCACAAACUGGGAUUAGAUACCCCACUAUGCCUGGCCCUAAAUCUUGAUGUUUUCCCUACUAAAUCAUCCGCCUGAGGACUACGAGCACAAACGCUUAAAACUCUAAGGACUUGGCGGUGCCUCAAACCCACCUAGAGGAGCCUGUUCUAUAAUCGAUAACCCACGAUAUACCUAACCCUUCCUUGCCAAGCAGCCUAUAUACCGCCGUCGCCAGCUCACCUUCCCUGAAAGCACAACAGUGAGCUCAAUAGCCUCCAACCCCGCUAAUAAGACAGGUCAAGGUAUAGCCCAUGGAAGGGAAGAAAUGGGCUACAUUUCCUAAAAUAGAAAAUCCACGAAAAGGGGCAUGAAACUCCCCUGGAAGGCGGAUUUAGCAGUAAAGCGGGACAAUAGCGCCCCCUUUAAGUCGGCCCUGGGGCACGUACACACCGCCCGUCACCCUCCUCACAAGCUACUCGCCCCAUAAAUAAUACGCAUUCCAGCUGAAGAUGAGGUAAGUCGUAACAAGGUAAGUGUACCGGAAGGUGCACUUAGCAUAC
rnacentral:ncRNA from 1 species